rnacentral:rRNA from 1 species
CAGUCGCCGCGGUAAUACGUAGGGUGCGAGCGUCAAUCGGAAUUACUGGGCGUAAAGCGUGCGCAGGCGGUUGUGUAAGACAGGUGUGAAAUCCCCGGGCUUAACCUGGGAACUGCGCUUGUGACUGCACAGCUAGAGUAUGGCAGAGGGGGGUGGAAUUCCACGUGUAGCAGUGAAAUGCGUAGAGAUGUGGAGGAACACCGAUGGCGAAGGCAGCCCCCUGGGCCAAUACUGACGCUCAUGCACGAAAGCGUGGGGAGCAAACAGGAUUAGAUACCCCUGUAGUCCCUGUCUCUUAUAC